rnacentral:rRNA from 1 species
CCGGGUGAGUAAGACGUAGACGACCGACCGUGAAGUGGGGGACAACUGGGCGAAAGUCUAGCUAAUACCGCAUAAUAGCCACGCUUCAGUGCGUGGGAGAAAGCAGCAAUGCGCUUUAUGGAGGGUCUGCGGCCCAUCAGGUAGUUGGCGGGGUAACGGCCCACCAAGCCACUGACGGGUAGGGGGUGUGAGAGCAUGACCCCCCACACUGGCACUGAGAACGGGCCAG